GAUGAACGCUAGCGGCAGGCCUAAUACAUGCAAGUCGGACGGGAUUCAGGAGCUUGCUUCUGAUGAGAGUGGCGCACGGGUGCGUAACACGUAUGUAACCUACCUUUAUCAGGGGGAUAGCCUCUCGAAAGAGAGAUUAAGCCCGCAUAAAAUCACAGCACAGCAUUGUGUAAUGAUCAAAUAUUUAUAGGAUAAAGAUGGGCAUGCGGAACAUUAGCUAGAUGGCGGGGUAACGGCCCACCAUGGCGACGAUGUUUAGGGGAUCUGAGAGGAUGGCCCCCCACACUGGUACUGAGACACGGACCAGACUCCUACGGGAGGCAGCAGUAGGGAAUAUUGGUCAAUGGGCGGAAGCCUGAACCAGCCAUGCCGCGUGCAGGAAGACGGCCCUACGGGUUGUAAACUGCUUUUAUACGGGAAUAAACCCAGAUACGUGUAUCUGGCUGAAUGUACUGUAAGAAUAAGGAUCGGCUAACUCCGUG
rnacentral:rRNA from 1 species